rnacentral:rRNA from 1 species
AACGUACGCUGGCGGCACGCCUAACACAUGCAAGUCGAGCGAGGUAGCAAUACCUAGCGGCAGACGGGUGAGUAACAUGUGGGAAUCUGCCUUUUGGUUCGGAACAACACGGGGAAACCUGUGCUAAUACCGGAUAAGUCCUAACGGAGAAAGUUUUAAUGCCAAAAGAUGAGCCCGCAUUUGAUUAGCUAGUUGGUAAGGUAAAAGCUUACCAAGGCGACAAUCAAUAGCUGAUUUGAGAGGAUGAUCAGCCACACUGGGACUGAGAUACGGCCCAGACUCCUACGGGAGGCAGCAGUGGGGAAUCUUGCACAAUGGGCGAAAGCCUGAUGCAGCGAUGCCGCGUGAGUGAAGAAGGCCUUUGGGUUGUAAAGCUCUUUUGUCGGGAAAGAUAAUGACUGUACCCGAAGAAUAAGGUCCGGCUAACUUCGUGCCAGCAGCCGCGGUAAUACGAAGGGACCUAGCGUAGUUCGGAAUUACUGGGCGUAAAGAGUAUGUAGGCGGCUAGAUAAGUUAAUUGUGAAAGCCCAAAGCUUAACUUUGGAAUUGCAAUUAAAACUAUUUAGCUGGAGUAUGAUAGAGGAAAGCGGAAUACAUAGUGUAGAGGUGAAAUUCGUAGAUAUUAUGUAGAACACCAGUUGCGAAGGCGGCUUUCUGGAUCAUUACUGACGCUGAGAUACGAAAGUAUGGGUAGCGAAGAGGAUUAGAUACCCUCGUAGUCCAUACCAUAAACGAUGAUUAUUAGAUGUGGGGAAUUAUUUCUCUGUAUCAUAGCUAACGCGUUAAAUAAUCCGCCUGGGGAGUACGACCGCAAGGUUAAAACUCAAAUGAAUUGACGGGGACCCGCACAAGCGGUGGAGCAUGUGGUUUAAUUCGAAGCAACGCGCAGGACCUUACCAACCCUUGACAUGUUUGUCGCGAGACUAAGAAAUUAGUCUCU